AUGAGCUCUUCUUCAGGCUUACUGACUGUGAUAUUCUUAAUGUUUGGAGGAACCAGUGGAGACUCAGUGACCCAGAUGGAAGGACAAGUGGCCCUCUCAGAAGGGGCUCUGCUGACUGUGAACUGCACUUACACAGCUGCAGGCUACCCUUUUCUUUUCUGGUAUGUUCAACAUCCCGGAGAAGGACCACAGCUCCUCUUGAAGGCCACAAAAGCCAAUGAGAAGAGAAGCAACAAAGGAUUUGAAGCCACAUACAAUAAGGAAACCACGUCCUUCCACUUGGAGAAACCCUCAAUCCAAGAGCUGGAUUCGGCUGUGUAUUACUGUGCUCUGAGUGACACAGUGAUGUGA